rnacentral:rRNA from 1 species
AUACGUAGGGGGCGAGCGUUGUCCGGAAUGAUUGGGCGUAAAGGGCGCGUAGGCGGCCCGGUAAGUCUGGAGUGAAAGUCCUGUUUUUAAGAUGGGAAUUGCUUUGGAUACUGUCGGGCUUGAGUGCUGGAGAGGUAAGUGGAAUUCCCAGUGUAGCGGUGAAAUGCGUAGAGAUUGGGAGGAACACCAGUGGCGAAGGCGACUUACUGGACUGUAACUGACGCUGAGGCGCGAAAGUGUGGGGAGCAAACAGGAUUAGAUACCCUGGUAGUCCACACUGUAAACGAUGAAUGCUAGGUGUAGGGGGUAUCGACCCCUUCUGUGCCGCAGUCAACACAAUAAGCAUUCCGCCUGGGGAGUACGGCCGCAAGGUUGAAACUCAAAGGAAUUGACGGGG